AUUGAACGCUGGCGGCAGGCCUAACACAUGCAAGUCGAGCGGCAGCGGGAAAGUAGCUUGCUACUUUUGCCGGCGAGCGGCGGACGGGUGAGUAAUGCCUGGGGAUCUGCCCAGUCGAGGGGGAUAACUACUGGAAACGGUAGCUAAUACCGCAUACGCCCUACGGGGGAAAGCAGGGGACCUUCGGGCCUGGCGCGAUUGGUUGAACCCAGGUGGGAUUAGCUAGUUGGUGAGGUAAUGGCUCACCAAGGCGACGAUCCCUAGCUGGUCUGAGAGGAUGAUCAGCCACACUGGAACUGAGACACGGUCCAGACUCCUACGGGAGGCAGCAGUGGGGAAUAUUGCACAAUGGGGGAAACCCUGAUGCAGCCAUGCCGCGUGUGUGAAGAAGGCCUUCGGGUUGUAAAGCACUUUCAGCGAGGAGGAAAGGUUGGUAGCUAAUAACUGCCAGCUGUGACGUUACUCGCAGAAGAAGCACCGGCUAACUCCGUGCCAGCCGCCGCGGUAAUAC
rnacentral:rRNA from 1 species